rnacentral:rRNA from 1 species
UACGGGGGGGGCAAGCGUUGUUCGGAAUCACUGGGCGUAAAGCGCACGUAGGCGGAUCUUUAAGUCAGGGGUGAAAUCCCAGAGCUCAACUCUGGAACUGCCUUUGAUACUGGCGACCUAGAGUCCGGAAGAGGAGAGUGGAAUUCCCGGUGUAGCGGUGAAAUGCGCAGAUAUCGGGAAGAACACCCGUGGCGAAGGCGGCUCUCCGGGACGGUACUGACGCUGAGACGCGAAAGCGUGGGGAGCGAACAGG